UACGUAGGCAGCGAGUGUUGUUCGGAAUUACUGGGCGUAAAGAGUGUGUAGGCGGUGCUCUAAGUUCGGUGUGAAAUCUCCCGGCUUAACUGGGAGGGUGCGCCGGAAACUGGAGUGCUCGAGCGUGGGAGAGGAAAGCGGAAUUCCUGGUGUAGCGGUGAAAUGCGUAGAUAUCAGGAGGAACACCGGUGGUGUAAACGGCUUUCUGGACCAUAACUGACGCUGAGGCACGAAAGCGUGGGUAGCAAACAGG
rnacentral:rRNA from 1 species